GUGCCAACAAGUGGGCCCCGCCCGUCGGCCACACACCCGUGUCACUACGUCACCAAGCCACCCAUUGACCACCAGGGCCCAUUCGUCUAAUACCUUGCACCAUCCUGUUGUCGCUGACUAGUGGUCCUGAUUUGCCAGACCGUCCCUUCCCACAUGGCGCUCUGCUCCGUGGAACUCGGAUCACCGGUGCAGAUUUCAGGGAGUCAUUGCCGGCGCCGUGCGACCGAACUCCCUAGGCUAUAAAGCAGCAAACCUAGUGUCAUUUCCCCUUCUAGCUCUCAAACCCAGCCACAAUCGUCGUAGAACCGGGAAAAGCGAGAGAACGUCGUGACAAUCUCGCCGUUGCCCUGUCCUUCGCCACGACCUCCGCCACUCGGGCUUCAAUUGGUGUUCGUGGGGGUUCAUCGGCGACCAGAGAUCAUGUGGGGGUGGGUAGUCACUCGCACUGCUGACAGGCGUCCGCUCAAUUCCUCGUCGGUAGUGCGGCGGAUUCACAAAUCCGCGCCCAUCGUGCCAGCGCCCUUCUCGUCAUCGUCCUCGGUGAAGAGCAGGUAGUCCAGGAGGAGGUCUACAACGAGAAAUACAAGCUUAUCUAGAUGGCGUCUCUCAGUCAGUUUGAUGGUGUCAAGGAAUAAUUAUUAGUUCGAUUUAUUGUUAUAAUUUAUUUUUGUAAUAAUAUUUAUGACAUUUAUCUCUAUAAACUUGGUCAUUAUAUGUGUUGUUA